rnacentral:rRNA from 1 species
CGAGAAAGCCCGCAAGGGUGAGUAAAGCGGCGCACGGGUGAGUAACACGUGGGUAAUCUGCCCUAGAGUCCGGAAUAACUCGCCGAAAGGCGUGCUAAUGCCGGAUGAGACCACGGGAGCUCCGGCUCCUGCGGGAAAAGGUGGCCUCUGUACACAAGCUAUCACUCUGGGAUGAGCCCGCGGCCCAUCAGCUCGUUGGCGGGGUAACGGCCCACCAAGGCUACGACGGGUAGCUGGUCUGAGAGGACGAUCAGCCACACUGGAACUGAGACACGGUCCAGACUCCUACGGGAGGCAGCAGUGGGGAAUCUUGCGCAAUGGGCGAAAGCCUGACGCAGCAACGCCGCGUGUGUGAUGAAGGUCUUCGGAUCGUAAAGCACUGUCGCGAGGGACG